GUUACAAUUAACAAGAAUCCCUAUUAGGGAUUGAAAC
rfam:Limnoraphis robusta CS-951 contig209, whole genome shotgun sequence.